AGAACAUGUGUGGUUGACGAUUUGAUGCCGGCACAGCAAAUGCCUUUAUAAGUAGUUAUUGCGCUGCCAUUGGGCUUAUCUAUGUCUUAUCGGAGUAACCGACGAUAAUAAUAAGUCGUCCGCCGUGGAUACAGACCGGCAGUUCCAACAAAUCAUGUGGACGUUUCCCAUUAUUGUUGCCUAUCAACCAGUCGUCAGCCCAAACCCUUCUUGUCUACUGUCCGACCAUACCUCGCAGUUAGGAGACCGUGAUAAAGACAGAAGGAUGGAGGCAAUAGUCUGCCGCUUACAGUAUCUACAUGUAAUCUCAUUCUUUGUGUAAAACCAAUUUGACACCACAUCUAUUUAAAUUUGUAUUACUGAGGUUAUGAUUUAAAGCUGUGAAAAAUUGCGGCAUAGUAAUUUGCCAUC